rnacentral:rRNA from 1 species
CCGAGAAUCCGGCCCAAAAGCUGGAGUGCUAGCAAUAGAACUCGGUGACAGGUGCUGCAUGGCUGUCGUCAGCUCGUGUCGUGAGAUGUUGGGUUAAGUCCCGCAACGAGCGCAACCCUCGUCUUUAGUUGCCACCAUUCAGUUGGGCACUCUAGAGAGACUGCCGGUGUUAAACCGGAGGAAGGUGGGGAUGACGUCAAGUCCUCAUGGCCCUUACGCCUGGGGCUACACACGUACUACAAUGGCCGCUACAAUCCGUUGCAAGACCGCGAGGUGGAGCCAAUCGGAAAAAAGCGGCCUCAGUUCAGAUUGCAGUCUGCAACUCGACUGCAUGAAGGCGGAAUCGCUAGUAAUCGCGUAACAGCAUGACG